rnacentral:lncRNA from 1 species
CUCCAGUCCUUCCCCUACACCUUUCCUGUGCACACCCCUUUAAUGAAGUGUAAAAAUAGAUAUCUUUUGUGAUAUGUUUCUACACUUUCCUAAUGAGCAACGUAAUAACACUUUUAGUUUCAUCAUUGGUCUGCAACAACCACCCUAGCUGUCCUUGCCUUUCUCCAGAUUAGCUUCAGAGCACCACAGUUAUCCUGCCAGCCACCCCACAGUUGCCUAAGAAAAUAUUUGCAUGUCCAUACAUUUUCUGCUAUCUAACACUGUGUGUAUGAAACUCACUCUUAGAAGACAUUUCUCUGGCAGCCUGGAAAAUGCCAGUAUUCCUGUGUGCAAUGAGGAUAAAUGAAGAUUUACUUCUUGCUUGUCAUUUCUCUGGAGUGUUCAGCAUGGAAGGAGAUUGCUAAUGCUUGUCUGGUCCCCUAUGGACCACUGCCUUCCGCACAAGGAAAGGCUGGCAGCACAUGGAGGAAAAUCAUGCAACUCUUCUUCCGUAGGGAUGACUCCUCUGGGAGAAGGUUGGGGCGCACGGGCACAGUGUUGGGAGGGAAGUCUUUCUCUGUUGCAGAGGAGAAGUAGAGGAUUUUGGUGUUCAUGACCUUUUACCUGGCUGCUCUCUUCAACCCACAGUCCUAAAAAAUUAAUUGUCUGGAAAAGAUAUGAAACAGGAUUGAGUUCCUCAAAGGGACUCUCCUCUCGGCUGCUACAGGAUCUGCUGACUGCACACAUUCUGUCCUCUCUCUUGCCUGGCUCCCAGUUAUCUCCUUCCCUCCUCGAAAGUUUAUGAUUUUACUUUUGUGAAAUUUCUUAGCUUCUCACUUGGGGACUGAAGGAUGUUUCAUGAGCAGAAAUGGAGCAAAUGACUUUCCCUAUAACAGAUGAUACUGGAUAUCAACAAACAAAGAAAAAAAAAAAGCCAAAACAUAGCAUCAAACCAUAUGCUAUGAAGACCAACUCUGUCCCAGCUGAAACCAGGACAAGAGCCAAGGAGCAAGAUAUGAAGUUCUUCGUAACAGUUUUUCAGAGGGUAAAUGGGAACCCAUUUUGGAGAAGGAGUUCUCUGAUAUCUUUAGCAAAGUCUGCCUAAGAACAGUAUCUGCACAGCUAAGACAGUGAUUUACUAAUAUAUUGAUCUGAUUGAUAGUCCAUAAAUACUUUCUAUUACAGAACAGGAGAUGUUAUACAAAGAAGAAACCACUCCACAAUGCAAAUAAUUCUCUGUGCAAAGACUGUUGGUGGUGAUGAGUUUCCUAUUUAGAAUCAAAGCAUCAUUAAGGUUGGAAAAGACUACUAAGAUCAUCCAGUCCAACCCCAACCCAUCCCCACCAUGCCUACUAAUCAUGUCCCUCAGUGCCACAUCUCCAAGGCUUUUGAACACAUGCAGGGAUAGUAAAAAACAAAAACAAAAACAAACAAACAAAAAAACCCCUACAAAAUUUACUACUACUACUACAGAUAUGAGUGCUAGUGGCACGUUUUUCAUCUAUGAUAGAUGAAAGAGGAGACCUCUCAUCAGACAUCGGGCUAACAUAAACUAUCAGGGGGAAAUUAGUGACUUCAAUAUGGAGGAAUGAGAACCUGACCAGGAAUAGAGGGUGACUGGAAGGGAUCAUUGUAAGAAGACUUUUAUGCCAAAAAUCAAAUGGUGACAGAGCCGGUUUCAAAGAAGACAGUAUCGAGAGACUGUACUACCACUCUUCGUUAUUUCAAAGAAAGUGGUAUGCUGGCAUGAUGAUUCUUGGUAAAGAAAGACAAAAAGGGCAACUGGAAAGUGGAAAACAUGAAAGCUCCUAGGCAUGCAGUGGAGGAUUAAUCUGGAGUGUUGCCUUCAUCAUUGUAAAAUACCUGUGGUGCUGGAUUCCCCUGCUCUUUCUCCCUCUUCCCCCAGUAAAGUCAGCCUCCUGAUUUCUAAAGCAUAUUAUUUACUAGGUUCAAAAAUUAUGUAUGUACUUGCAUAUCCUUUUAAUUAGCCUAGAAAUACAUAUUUCUAUAUUACUAACAACUGAAGCGUUCAGCUCCCCUACCCUCCACCCCUCAACAAACAACCAAAUGAGAAAAAAAACCCCUCAGUUUUAUUUUCUGGAAUUUUGGGCCUGUUUCUCAUUUGUACUGGGGAUGCUUCCUAUCAUCAAACAGUAUGAGGGCACUGACAGGGAGUGGGCAUGUAAUUCAUGCUUGUCAUGCUGUGAAAUACUACUUGGAAGGUGGGAAAAAGCCUUCUCCUGAGUGUUUUUCAUUUAUUAUCCAUAAUGUUCCUAUUUCUAGAAGCCCAGGUCCUUCAUGGGGUUGUGACUGCAACAGAAGCUGUAUAAAUGAAGCACUAUUGGAAAUCAAGGGCUUCAACAUCUUUUUGUUUCUCCUUAUACGAGUGUAUGGGUAUAUAUUACUUUUGGCAGAUGCUCUCUGAAUUUUUUAAUUUCCCUUACCACUUACCUAAAGCAACCCUCUGAGAUAAUUUUUCAUGUCAGCAGCUAAUCUGAUCUAUCGGAGAGCGCGUUACUAAACUUCCUAUACAAAUCUGCUCAGUUUCCACAGUGCUCUUUAAAAAUCUCAAUCUCUCUCUCUGUUACCAAUGUCUACACCUGAAAGAUGCAAUUAGUUAUUAGCCAACAGCAGAUACCAGAUAUUACAGAUCAAUUUCUUUGAGCCUUAUUCUCCAUUCAGGAACAUAAACAAGCUGCAGUCCUCCAUAACUUCUGGUUGCACAAAGGAUAAAAACAUAUUCAGUUGCAAGACACUACUGUGCUGAGCACCCCAGGUCUGAUCAUGCUUUUCAUCCAUCUCAGUCCUUGCUUUAGCCAAACUAAAUGCUUCCUGAUCUGCAUGACCAGAAAAUGGCUACAGGGUAAAAGGAUUUUUGCUUUUGGGUCUGUUCCCUGAGUUGAUUUAUGGUACCUCUUUGUCCAUCUAUGCAGUAGACAGAAAUGCAUUGCUCUCCUCUUCAACCUAGACCCUUCAGUGUGAUCCUACUGCUUUCUGUGCUGCAUUGCCGACAUACCUUUAGACCACAAAUCCUUCCUAAGCUACCAGGAUUCUCCACCAAGUUCAGUAUUUCACAUUCUUCUUUGUCCACUGGGAAACUGAACUUCCAAUUAAAUUGACAUUAUUAUGAAGAACAGUUUCUUCGUCUUAAACGUUUGCCCUAAAAAUAAAGUGACAUUUUCUUUUUUGUUGUUGUUGUUUGUUUGCCUGAAAAUUAAAACUCUAUUUUUUUUUUCCUCUGGCUGGAAAACAUUCAUUUCACUCAAAUGUUUCCUCAAGAGUACCCCCUGCUUUCACACUUCAGUGAGCUGUCAUCUCCACAUUUAAUGUCAAAUUAAAACAAAACCUUUGUUGUGAACAUUCGUGAACUCUAAUGUUUCAGCCAAAGUCCUGAUCACAGUUUUAUAAUUUGAGCUAAACUCUGCAAACAUAAAUAACACUCACUUAGGGAUCAUUUAACUGUUUGUGAACACUUGUGGGUGCCUUGAGCUAGGCUGUGUUUAAACUGGAAUACUUUCAUUGCAUUAUGUUUCUCCAAUAGAUUAUCGACUCUUACCAUUCCAAUGGAAUGAUUCCCCAAAAUGAAAACAGAACUCAGCUGCACUUCACAGUUCCCUGAGAAAGUUAUGAUACCGUGGCCUAAUUUCACCAUCCACUGUAUUAUACCUUUCUAUACGAAAGCAAUAGCAGGAUUCGUAGCCUCAAAGCCCACUACUCAAAAGGGAAUAGUGUAACAUUCCUACAGUUUAUGCCUGUUUCAUUAAUUAAUUAAUGAAUUCCCCACUCAGAUUUUUAAUUUUUGGCAGCAGGAAGCUGACAUUCUGAACUGCUAAUGGUGGCCAACUCUCCAUAGCAUCCAUCAUCUCUUUAUAUAGUUAGUCUUUGAUGUCAAGGAAGCUCAGAGCUUUUCGCCUUUACAAUUCUGUAUGAUUUCCACAGUGCUCAUAUUAGAAAAUUCAGCUGAUAUGAAAAAUUGAUAAAGUACAGACUAGGUCAGCAGUUGUUUUAUC